UGGCCUUCGAAGGUCAUGAAGGACUCUGUUGCCUGUGCAAAAUGAAUGGGAAACAAAUUGAAAAUAUUCGUUUAGUUUAAUCUAAACAGCAUUGUUUGAGUGCCGAAAAUAACAAAAUUCUGUUUGCGCGCUCUUUUUGUAGCUGCAGCUCCAGGCAAAAAAUUAUGUUUGAGGCAAAUUGUCAAGGGCGCAUAGCGCGUCACCCGUGUGGCCAGCCACGUAUCUGAAAGUGGCGAUGGGGAUGGCUAGGGAACUUGGUCGUCCAAAUGAGGGACGCUACUCACGCUGUAGAAGUUAACCACA